GUCGGGAGUCUUGCACAAUGGGGGAAACCCUGAUGCAGCGACGUCGCGUGUGGGAUGAAGUAUUUCGGUAUGUAAACCACUUUUGCGGGGGGCGAAAAAAAUGACGGUACCCCGCGAAUAAGCCCCGGCUAACUACGUGCCAGCAGCCGCGGUAAUACGUAGGGGGCGAGCGUUGCUCGGAUUGACUGGGCGUAAAGCGCGCGUAGGCGGUCCAUUAAGUGUGCGGUGAAAUUCGGAGGCUCAACCUCCGUCCCGCCGCGCAACCUGAUGGUCUUGAGAUUGGGAGGGGGAUGCGGAAUUCCUGGUGUAGCGGUGAAAUGCAUUGAUAUCAGGAGGAACACCGGCGGCGAAAGCGGCAUCCUGGCUUAUAUCUGACGCUGAGGCGCGAAAGCGUGGGUAGCAAACAGGAUUAGAUACCCGGGUAGUCC
rnacentral:rRNA from 1 species